AGUGAACGCUGGCGGUAGGCCUAACACAUGCAAGUCGAACGGCAGCACAGUAAGAGCUUGCUCUUACGGGUGGCGAGUGGCGGACGGGUGAGGAAUACAUCGGAAUCUACUUUUUCGUGGGGGAUAACGUAGGGAAACUUACGCUAAUACCGAAUACGACCUACGGGUGAAAGCAGGGGAUCUUCGGACCUUGCGCGAUUGAAUGAGCCGAUGUCGGAUUAGCUAGUUGGCGGGGUAAAGGCCCACCAAGGCGACGAUACGUAGCUGGUCUGAGAGGAUGAUCGGCCACACUGGAACUGAGACACGGUCCAGACUCCUACGGGAGGCAGCAGUGGGGAAUAUUGGACAAUGGGCGCAAGCCUGAUCCAGCCAUACCGCGUGAGUGAAGAAGGCCUUCGGGUUGUAAAGCCCUUUUGUUGGGAAAGAAAAGCAGCAGGUUAAUACCCCGCUGUUCUGACGGUACCCAAAGAAUAAGCACCGGCUAACUUCGUG
rnacentral:rRNA from 1 species